UAAAUACUCCCUCCGUCCCAAGAUAAGUGUCUCAGCUUUAGUACAACUUAGUACAAAGUUGUACCAAAGUUGAGACACUUAUCUUGGGACGGAGGGAGUACUUC
rfam:Triticum urartu cultivar G1812 contig762795, whole genome shotgun sequence.